AUGGCACCUGGCGUCAGGCAAGUACGUGGCAGUGAAGAUCCUCCUGCAAGACGCCUCUCCCAGCAGCUCGCUGUCCGCGCAGGGGGAAGUGGUCAUCCUGAGGAGCCUGCGGCACGACAACAUCGUGCGGCUGCUGGAGGAGCGGCACACGGAGACGCACCUGUUCCUGGUCAUGGAGCUGGCGGCCAGGGGCUCGCUCUAUCACUACGUGCAGGAGCAGGGCGGCCUGGCCGAGGACGAGGCCAGGGCCCUGUUCAGCCAGGCGCUGGCUGCUGUGAGCUACUGCCAUGGUCAGCGCGUGGCACACCGGGACCUCAAGCUGGACAACCUGCUGCUGGACGAGCACAUGAACAUCAAGCUGGCGGACUUCAGGCUGAGCCUGCGGCUGGAGCAGGGCACGCUGGUAAGGGACGCCUGCGGGACUCCCGAGUACUGCGCACCAGAGGUUUUCCUCGGGGAGGCCUACGACGCAUUAAAGGCCGACGUGUGGAGUCUGGGGGUGGUGCUGUUUGCCAUGCUGGAGGCUACGCUGCUCUUCGGCGGCAAAGACUCGGAAGAGCUGCAGGACCGGGUGCUGUGGGCACCUACGUGGUGCCACGUGGCAUCAGCCCAGCCCUGCAGGAGCUGCUGGCGUGGCUGCUCACCAUCGAUGCCUCGGGGAGGCCAGUGCGGAGGACGCCAGGACCCACUCGUGGUUCGGCCCCAGCCGAGAAGCUGCCCAGGAGCACGAGGAGGACGCGGUCACCCUGCUGCAGCCCCUGGGAGUUCCCCGGGACCUGGAGGCCAGGGAGUACCUGGUGGGCCUCGGCCUGCUGCCAGGCACGGGGACCGAGGGGACGCCAGGCCCUCAGUCCCAGGACUCCACGUCCCUGCCCAAGUCCUCGCAGAACAGCAAGUGCCCCCCCCAUAGAGGACGACGGCUUGGCUCUGGUGUCAGUGUCCUGUGACAGCAUGGCCGUCAACGUUUCCUCCGCACAAAGCGACUCCUCCGAGGCCCCCAGCCAGCCACAGCAGGAGAGGAGCCCUGCUCCCAGCGCCACCCCCGACUCUUCGAGCCCUCCAGUGAGUCUUGCCCACUCCCCACAUCCCCUGCCACUUUGGGGCCUCCAGGAGCUGAGCCCAAGGCCCCGAGGUGACCCCACUCUUGACUCUUUCCUACCAGGCCAGCCACAGCAGGAGAGGAGCCCUGCUCCCAGUGCUGCCCCUGACUCCCCCAAAGUCUCCAGUGAGUCUUCCCCUCUCCCUCCCAGCCCCAGCCACCUCGGGCACUCUUGGGGCUGA
rnacentral:lncRNA from 1 species